rnacentral:miRNA from 1 species
UGAUUGCAGCAUCUGAGGGAGA